rnacentral:lncRNA from 1 species
CUCUCCCGGCGCUCAGUCCCGCUGCAGACGCGCGCUCGCUCCGUCGGUGCCCACUAGAAGAGGCGGCUUCCUGUGUGAGGUCGCCCACAUUCCAGGCCAACAUGAACAGCUGAUUUGGAUACCAUCAAGACACCUGAAAUUUUAGCAUGAGCCAGAUGCCAAGGAAGAGACUCCGGGAGGAUCCUGAGGACCCCCCGGUUGCAGCCAUGUCGAGGCUGAUGCUGAGGAGGACCCCAACUGUCACGAGAAACACCCGUCGAACACAGCCACCCAGCUGGAGACAGAUCAAGAAGCUGUCACAGAUGAUGGAAGAAAACCUGAGGAAAGCGGGACAACCACUCAGAAUGAGUAAUGGUAGCUAUGAUAGUGGUAAUCACCAUUGCCGUGAGUAUUCCUUAAAGAAGGGCUGACACAGAGAACAAUUAUACUUAUUAGGCAUAUUCAUCAAUCUUGGCUGGCAAUAAUGCCUGGAUGUAAUCACUCUAUGACACAGUUACAUGUGCUUUCUGAUCUCAGUAUUUACCAUAACAAAUCUCCUCCUAUAAUUGAGGCAUACUGCCCUCAAAAACCUAUCUGUAACAAAAUUGAACCUGGCCAGAAAAAAUGAACAUACUUGUUUAGGAAGAUUGCAUUGCAGAACAGGCAGAGGUGCUGCACAACGAUUCCUAUGGAAUCAUUAUUAAUUGGUCCCCUAAAGGGAUGUUUAGCUUAAAUUGCACCAACAGGCCCCCCCGCAAAACCUGGCCAUAAACUGGCCCCGAAACUGACCAUGAACAAUAUCUCUGUGGCACUGUGACAUGUUCAUGAUGGCCAUGACGCCCACGCUGGAAGGUUGUGGGUUUACUGGAAUGAGGGCAAGGAACACCUUGCCCACCCAGG